rnacentral:rRNA from 1 species
CCCCAGGCGGUCAACUUCACGCGUUAGCUACGUUACUAAGGAAAUGAAUCCCCAACAACUAGUUGACAUCGUUUAGGGCGUGGACUACCAGGGUAUCUAAUCCUGUUUGCUCCCCACGCUUUCGUGCAUGAGCGUCAGUGUUAUCCCAGGGGGCUGCCUUCGCCAUCGGUAUUCCUCCACAUCUCUACGCAUUUCACUGCUACACGUGGAAUUCUACCCCCCUCUGACACACUCUAGCCGUGCAGUCACCAAUGCAAUUCCCAAGUUAAGCUCGGGGAUUUCACAUCGGUCUUGCACAACCGCCUGCGCACGCUUUACGCCCAGUAAUUCCGAUUAACGCUUGGACCCUACGUAUUACCGCGGCUGCUGGCACGUAGUUAGCCGGUCCUUAUUCUUCCGGUACCGUCAUCGACCCCAGGUAUUAACCAGAGCCAUUUCUUUCCGGACAAAAGUGCUUUACAACCCGAAGGCCUUCUUCACACACGCGGCAUUGCUGGAUCAGGCUUUCGCCCAUUGUCCAAAAUUCCCCACUGCUGCCUCCCGUAGGAGUCUGGGCCGUGUCUCA